rnacentral:snoRNA from 1 species
ACAAUGCCUAUGAUGAAGAGAUUUCGGAUGUAAACCUUUCACUCCGAGAGCGCUAAACCGUGUGGAGACUUUCCGUUGCCUUCCUUCUGAGAUAC